rnacentral:tRNA from 1 species
AUUUAAGUAGUUUAAUAAAAAUAAGGAGUUGUGAUUUUCUAGAUAAGUUUGUUUCUUAAAUU